rnacentral:rRNA from 1 species
UACGUAGGGUGCGAGCGUUAAUCGGAAUUACUGGGCGUAAAGCGUGCGUAGGUGGUUUGUUAAGUCUGAUGUGAAAGCCCUGGGCUCAACCUGGGAAUUGCAUUGGAUACUGGAAGGCUAGAGUGUGUCAGAGGGGGGGUAGAAUUCCACGUGUAGCAGUGAAAUGCGUAGAGAUGUGGAGGAAUACCGAUGGCGAAGGCAGCCCCCUGGGAUAACACUGACGCUCAUGCACGAAAGCGUGGGGAGCAAAUAGG